CCAAACUUGGUCAUUUAGAGGAAGUAAAAGUCGUAACAAGGUCUCCGUAGGUGAACCUGCGGAGGGAUCAUUAGAAAUGCUUUGUUUCUUCUCUUGCUGUCGUUCGUUCCUCAACCGGGAACGGGAGGCACAAUGAGAAACAUCAUUUCCCGGUUUCCAGGAGCGCUGCCCGGCUACUCUCUCUCUGAGGGGGGAUGGUGGUGGUGGUGUAACUGGUGACCGGAUACCUUCUCAAGGGAUCUUUCGUAUCCCUUGGGGAAUUAUCUAUACCUAUCUUUGUCUGAAUCUUUCAUACAACAUCCGGGUUGGUUGGCUCGCGCCGAUAAACACGAAUGAAGUAUAACUAAAUAAUAUUAAUACAACUUUCAACAAUGGAUCCCUCGAUUCUCCCAUCAAUGAAGAACGCAGC
rnacentral:misc_RNA from 1 species